rnacentral:rRNA from 1 species
ACGCACGCUGGCGGCGUGCCUCAUCCAUGCAAGUUGAGCGAUGAAGAUUGGUGCUUGCACCAAUUUGAAGAGCUGCGAACGGGUGAGUAACGCGUGGGGAAUCUGCCUUUGAGCGGGGGACAACAUUUGGAAACGAAUGCUAAUACCGCAUAACAACUUUAAACAUAAGUUUUAAGUUUGAAAGAUGCAAUUGCAUCACUCAAAGAUGAUCCCGCGUUGUAUUAGCUAGUUGGUGAGGUAAAGGCUCACCAAGGCGAUGAUACAUAGCCGACCUGAGAGGGUGAUCGGCCACAUUGGGACUGAGACACGGCCCAAACUCCUACGGGAGGCAGCAGUAGGGAAUCUUCGGCAAUGGACGAAAGUCUGACCGAGCAACGCCGCGUGAGUGAAGAAGGGUUUCGGAUCGUAAAACUCUGUUGGUAGAGAAGAACGUUGGUGAGAGUGGAAAGCUCAUCAAGUGACGGUAACUACCCAGAAAGGGACGGCUAACUACGUG